rnacentral:rRNA from 1 species
UGGGGAAUUUUGCGCAAUGGGCGAAAGCCUGACGCAGCAACGCCGCGUGAGUGAUGAAGGCUUUCGGGUCGUAAAGCUCUGUCAAGGGGAAAGAAGUGUAUUGUGGCUAAUAUCCACGAUACUUGACGGUACCCCUAAAGGAAGCACCGGCUAACUCCGUGCCAGCAGCCGCGGUAAUACGGAGGGUGCGAGCGUUGUUCGGAAUUAUUGGGCGUAAAGCGCGUGUAGGCGGUUUGUUAAGUCUGAUGUGAAAGCCCCGGGCUCAACCUGGGAAGUGCAUUGGAAACUGGCAGACUUGAAUACGGUAGAGGGUAGUGGAAUUCCUGGUGUAGGAGUGAAAUCCGUAGAUAUCAGGAGGAACACCGGUGGCGAAGGCGGCUACCUGGACCGAUAUUGACGCUGAGACGCGAAAGCGUGGGUAGCAAACA